UCAUAACGACUCUCGGCAACGGAUAUCUCGGCUCUCGCAUCGAUGAAGAACGUAGCAAAAUGCGAUACGUGGUGUGAAUUGCAGGAUCCCGUGAACCAUCGAGUUUUUGAACGCAAGUUGCGCCCGAAGCCUUUAGGCCGAGGGCACGUCUGCCUGGGCGUCACGCAC
rnacentral:rRNA from 1 species